rnacentral:lncRNA from 1 species
UUAUUUUAUUUUGAUUAAUUUGAAAGAAUACAAAUAUUUAACAACAGAAUAGAGAAAAUCAUGGAACAGAAAAUUUAAAAAAAGGUUGUAUCAUACGGUUUUCUAGCCUUGCACAUCUGUUCCUUUGCUGGCUGACUCGAUAAAAUGGUAGAAUUAAGCCUCUGUGGCCCGAUUAUCGAAAUGCAAAUGAGGAAAGAAGUCCAUGGGACUCGGGGCAGAUUCACAUACAACGCACAAAAAGAAAGAGAAGAAAGUUAGUAAGUAACCAUGGAAAAGCCACUUUAAAUUACAAUCCUUAUGUAACUUAAACAAAAGAAACGAACACAUUUUUAUCACCGGCUAAAUAGCACCUAAAAUUUACACAUUGACACUCAAAGAAGUUAUAAUUCAGAAUAUGCAUUUGAGCUAAAAAAAACAUGGUGAUCUUAGGCGAAUUAUGACCCAAUUAAACCAUGUAUUUAAAAGAACUCUUCAAAAAGCAAUAAGCGCAACAUUACAAAGAUAAAGAUGGAUGAAAAAUGAAUUAGGCUUAAUCAUCUUUGUUUUAAGGGAAAAGGGUCAAAAAUGCCCUCUACCUAUUAGAAAUGGUUCAAAAAUACCCUCCUUCCACCCAUUGGUUUAAAAAUGCCCUUAAUGUUCUUUUUUAGGUUCAAAAAUGCCCUUUAGUUAACAGAUGGAAUUUAACUUAACAAAUGGUCAAUUUUCAUUGGUCCANNNN